rnacentral:tRNA from 1 species
GUAUAUCUCAGUGGUAGAAUGCCUGCCUAAUAUGCAUGUGGCCCUGGGUUUGAACCCCAGUAC